rnacentral:miRNA from 1 species
CAUUACAUGUUUUACUGGUUG